UUGCUGACUUAUUAUAAAAUUAACGUAAAUCGAUUAAUAAUUAACUAAAAUAAUUUGAAGUAAAAUUGAAUUGCGCGGUUUUUCCAACGGUAACGACCUCUACAAUUUGUCUGUAUUGACCUUUAACGAGUCUGUCUACUGGUUUGGCUUUGGUUUGGUUUUGUGUUGUUUUGAUUAAUUGUGAUUAAAAUUGGCUAAUUAUGGCUGUGUCUAAUUUCGUUUAUAAUACUUUUUUCAAAAAAUCGUCUUCUGCUGCAUUAACAGUUGUGGUGGGUGCUAUCCUUUUUGAAAGAGGAGUAGAUGCUUUUACCGACAGCGUCUUUGAAUAUUACAAUAGAGGGAGACUAUGGAAGAAUAUUGCACACCUUUAUCCACCAAAACCCGAAGAUUAAUCUCAAUGUUGGCUGCAAUUAAUUAAAUUUAUUAGUUCUCCUCAUUGGGUUUGUGGAUCCGUGGAUAAAAUAUAAUUCAUCCAAUGCCAACUUGAAGGACAUCCCUUAUUUUUCAUUUGUUUUGUCAAAUCUGUUAUGAUCCGGUUUACUUCUGAUGUAUUAUAUUCUAUCCAAUGUUUGGUUUAAAUCUGAUGAUAUUUUAGGAGUAAUUUAUGUUCAAAUUAGUAAUAAACUAAAGUUCUAUUGAAA